AGCAGUAGCCGCGGGAAUACGUAGGGUGCAAGCGUUAAUCGGAAUUACUGGGCGUAAAGCGUGCGCAGGCGGUUAUAUAAGACAGAUGUGAAAUCCCCGGGCUCAACCUGGGAACUGCAUUUGUGACUGUAUAGCUAGAGUACGGCAGAGGGGGAUGGAAUUCCGCGUGUAGCAGUGAAAUGCGUAGAUAUGCGGAGGAACACCGAUGGCGAAGGCAAUCCCCUGGGCCUGUACUGACGCUCAUGCACGAAAGCGUGGGGAGCAAACAGGAUUAGAAACCCCAGUAGUCCCUGUCUCUUAUAC
rnacentral:rRNA from 1 species